rnacentral:misc_RNA from 1 species
AAAGGAAAUUAAUAAUAGCUUUUAUUACAACAAAAAACAAUGCUAAUACAUAAGGGUUUCCUUUCCUAAAAAACAAAAAUUACAGAGGUUUGGGGAGGGGGAGUUGGAUCCUAGGUAUCCAUAUCAACAUUUAUGAACCAAAUAGGUGAGUCCUCCUUUUAUUCACCUUCCUGCAUAACUUGAGAAACCCAGUUGUAAAAGGGUGCAGACAUUGAAUAAGCGAGUAUCGACCCAACCAUUGCAAUUGAAACAACUGAAAUAUACCAGCAGAUCUGCCUUACAAUCUUGGUCUCGUUUUCAAUCAUAAGAGCUAUAAAUGAACCACUGAAGGCCAAAACAAGGCACACUGCAAAGGCAUGGAAGAUGAUAGAUGGAAGUUUUUUGAAGAUGAUGAUGGACAGAAUUCGAUUUCCGUCUAGCGAUAAUACGGUAGCUACUAUGAAGCAAAAACAGAAAAUAAAUUUCAUGAAGUUCUGUUGUUGGUAGGGAGUGAAGAUGUAAGAUGAAGGGUGGACACACUGAAGGGAUGCCAUCUUCUUAAAAUUUGGUUUUUUGGAUACAUGGGAAAGAAUCCAUAUAUCCUUUUCGUGUUGAAUGUGAAAUUGAACCCUUU